CCCAGUGAACAAUUAAACGGCCGCGGUACCCUAACCGUGCAAAGGUAGCAUAAUCAUUUGUCUACUAAUUAUAGACCUGCAUGAAAGGCAAAAUGAGGGUUUAACUGUCUCUUAUAAUGAAUCAAUUAAACUGAUCUCCUAGUAAAAAAGCUAGAAUUUCCACAUAAGACCAGAAGACCCUGUGAAGCUUAAACUAAAUUAUUAAACCAUAUAAUAACCACUUUCGGUUGGGGCGACCUUGGAAAAAAAAAGAACUUCCAAAAACCAUGACUAUCCAUACCACCCUAGGCCUACAAGCCAAUAAAUGACCCAGCACAGCUGAUCAAUGAACCAAGUUACUCCAGGGAUAACAGCGCAAUCCUCUUCAAGAGCCCAUAUCAAAAAGAGGGUUUACGACCUCGAUGUUGGAUCAGGACAUCCUAA
rnacentral:rRNA from 1 species